CGCGACUUCGCCCCGCCCGGCGCGGGCCCAGGACCCUGAUGUCGCUUUUGAACAGCCCCUGCACCUGGCAGCCAGCGAGCUACUGUAGUAGGCAUUGCCGACUGUUUGCAUACCGGAUGGGAGUGACAGUGUAAUAGAAAAACAAGCAAGAAACCUUUUAGUAGAGACAGGAUUUCACCAUGUUGGUGAGGCUGGUCUCCAACUCCUGAACUCCCGAAGCCCGCCUCAGCCUCCCAAAGUGUUGAGAUUACAGGCAUCAUCAGGCGAGAGCCACUGCGCCCGGCCUCCACUUCUGCCUUUUCCAAAUUGACGAAAUAAACACUUAGUAAUAGAAACAAC
rnacentral:lncRNA from 10 species